GAGUGAGUAAUUUGUAUAGAUAAUCCAUACUAAAUAAUACACCAAGAAUGAUCACCACAGGAAAAUGAUGCAUCAACUUAACUGAGUUUCUGCACAUAAAAAAAGUCUCAGCUACCUAAGAUACAGAGAAGUUAUGCAAACAAGAGAGAGAGAGAGGAGAGCAAGUUCCAUUAUUGAACUUGAGAUGGCAAUCAGUGGAUAUGUCAAAGCAACUUGCAACAGACAGUAGAGGAAUCGACCAAGGAGGAGGAGCUGCAUCAAGAUUCAGCAGCAGUAGCAUCGACAGCUGCAGCAUUCUGCGCUUCCAAGAGCUUCAUCUGGCGCUCUGCGUGCUCCCUCUCACAAGCAUUGAUCCCCAUGAUUAUGUCGAGCAUGGUACCUGUCGUGCCAAAGAACACAAGGGAAUCCCUUACUAAUGAUUCAUUUUCAUUGUUAAACCAAACACUCAAUAAAAGUAAUGGUUAUUGUUACCAUUCCACUCCUUUAUUUGAUUCCAUUCCCUUUCCAUUCCUUUAUUUGAACCAAACGAGCACUAAAUAUGAAGACUUUCAGAUCCAACAAGAGAAUCAACAACUAAAACAGAUUAGUUAGUUAGAUCAUGGCAAGAGAAAUCACAAUCAUCUUCCAUCCAAAGAUCAUUAGAUGAGGGGUUGUAGAUUUCAAUCCAUCCAUUACAACUCUACUUAACCAAACCAGCUGACUAACAGAUUCUACGAAACUAGUGUUGCUAUAAACUAGCUUCUUCCUUCAGAAUGCGUCAUUGCCCUCUCUCUCUAGUAGUUAGCAGUUUACACAAGCUUCAUUAUUCUUUCAUAGUUUCAAUAGAGCAACUCGAGAAGAACCUCUCACGAGAUGAAGAGCCGAGACAUCCAUUGCUAACAAAACUUUGUUGGUAGCAAUCCUUCACCGGAUUUUAAAUUAAUCCAUUAAGCAACUUAAUGAAGCUUCAACCAAGUACCAAGAAUCAUCAAUCAUAUUCAUCACAGCACCAAUCACUAAAACAUUUCCUAGUCUUCACAAAUUUAUCAUAUCCCAUUGUAGGAAAAUGCCCUAGCUCAAAUAUAUAGAACUUUAAUCACGAAAACACAAAAGAGUGAAUCAAAUAAAGGUUGGAGUAGAGCUUCCUAAUCCAUCACCAUCACCAAUUUUCUUCUUAAAAAACAAAACCUGGCCUCACUUCUACUCUCACUGAAAACAACAAUUAGCCACAAACAGGAGAUCUAUAACUCAUAAAACAACUUUUNUUUUUUUGCAACACACAUAAUCAAGAAUUAGAUUUACAAAAGUAAAAGAAGAGAGAAAGAAGACUGCUUAAAGCUUUGUGGGUGGGAACAGUGUGGUUGCUCUGGGAAAGCAGGAAUGGUAGUCGUUUUCAGGACAAGGCUUGGGAUAUUGAUAGACUUGUCUUACAGAUUAAGGGGAGACUUUGGAGCUGGAACGAGGCCUACAAAAUCGUGGAGUUAGGAAUUCCUUUUACUUCUUGGUGUUCCAAAGAUUUUAAACUUGUUUUAUUGUUUUGAUUGGCAUUCCUGAUGCCUUGACCCCUUUUCUUUCAAUAAAAAUUUUACUUUACUGAUCAAAAAAAAAAAAAGAAGAGGGAUAGGAAAAUAAUACAAACUUUGAAACAGAGCAUUCCUCUAAUUUCUUCUCUUCCUCUUUUCCGGCCAUGAUAAAUCACUCAGUUUCUUCACGCCUCCCACCAAAACGUCAAUCUGAUCAGCACAGGAAAAUCAGAACCACUAUUGUCAACAAAUCAUAACAGGUGCUAAUCAAAACAGAAAAUCCACAUACCAAAAUGUGCAAGUCACAGCUGCUGCUUCUUCGUCUUCUUUUAAUUUUUUUCUUAAAUCAGUAUUUCUAGGUAAUUCAAAGUAGAUUGCGCUGUAUGAAUGAAAGAGGGGAUUUCUCACUCUUUGGGCUUCUUUGCGCUGUAUAAAUCAAUAUCUGAUUUCUUAAAUCAGAUAUUGUUGAUGAAGAAGUAGGCGUAUGAAAUUUUGCAUGCAAAUCGAAUUUUGAAAAUUUGUGUUGUGCAUUAUUUGCAGGAAUAAACGCAAAACAGAUAAAAUAUCAAUGGGCUUUCAGUUUCAAUGGAAGUUAUCUCCAUAAUUUCAAUGGGCUUGAAGUCUACCCUCA
rnacentral:lncRNA from 1 species